UACGGAGGGGGCUAGCGUUGUUCGGAAUUACUGGGCGUAAAGCGCGCGUAGGCGGACCUGCAAGUCGGGGGUGAAAGCCCGAGGCUCAACCUCGGAACUGCCUUCGAUACUGCGGGUCUCGAGUCCGGGAGAGGUGAGUGGAAUUCCUAGUGUAGAGGUGAAAUUCGUAGAUAUUAGGAAGAACACCAGUGGCGAAGGCGGCUCACUGGCCCGGUACUGACGCUGAGGUGCGAAAGCGUGGGGAGCAAACGGG
rnacentral:rRNA from 1 species